AACGAACGCUGGCGGCAUGCCUAACACAUGCAAGUCGAGGGAGAAGGUUCUAGCUUGCUAGAACCCGAAACCGGCGAACGGGUGAGUAACGCGUGGAUAAUGUACCUCUAAGUCUGGGAUAGCCUGCCGAAAGGCGGAUUAAUACCGGAUGUGCCUUGAGAGUCUUUGGACUUUCUAGGGAAAGCCCCGGCGCUUAGAGAUCGGUCCGCGUCCCAUCAGCUAGUUGGUAGGGUAAUGGCCUACCAAGGCAACGACGGGUAGCUGGUCUGAGAGGAUGAUCAGCCACACUGGAACUGAGACACGGUCCAG
rnacentral:rRNA from 1 species